rfam:Stegodyphus mimosarum contig102201, whole genome shotgun sequence.
GCCUUCGUGGUGUAGUGGUCAGCACGCUCAGCGUGGAUUCGAGAAGUCCGUGGUUCGAAUCCUGGCGGAGACA